ensembl:snoRNA SNORA62 Small nucleolar RNA SNORA62/SNORA6 family
ACAGACAUUAUUAAAGCUUGAAGUUCAGGCCGCUGGCUGGCUGAUGAAUUCACAAGUGUAGAUAGUGUGCUACAUGGGGGCAAGUCUUUCAUCAACACCACAAGGGUCCCUGGCCCAGUGAGUGGCGUUUGGUAGUAAUUCUUGCUACAAGU